rnacentral:lncRNA from 1 species
AUCCUAUUCUGAACAUUUGGGGUGUUACAUUAUGAGGCUCUAGAUCUUAUGUAAAUUUUUUGUUUUAGCUGGCCUGUGCUGAAACUGGACUGGUGGUGGAAGCCGGGCACUAACUCUUUAUCACUGGAAGGAAGUGGAAGUCCAGACUCCCCAGCAGCCUCCAUUGGUACCACCAUGGCAGGGAGCGGGGAGCUAUUCAUUACCAGCAGAUGAGGGUUAGAAGUUCAUGCUCCCUGGAUAGUCUCCACUAAACUGAAGGAAGGCAUUCAAGGAAGGGCAGCUCAUCGCCACAGGGCGGAGGUAGAAAUCCAGGCUGCCUACUUGACUUCCUGGGAGACCACCUCAGCAUGGAUGGAAAAGAGCACCUCAUCACCUCCAGGUAUUAUGGGAGAUAGGCUGGGACAGAGAAGGAAAGCCAGGAAGAAGAGACAGCAUGAGCAAAAGCAUGAAGAUCAGAAUUCAAAGAGGAUGCUGCUAAGAAACUACAGACAGAGUCUUGCUAUGUUGCCCAGUCUGGU